GAGAUUAACAAGAGGCUGGAUGCUGCGUCCAUCACCAGAGGGGCCGGGAUUGCUGCGGCAGCUAGCCAAUUAAAGGAGGAGGAUGAAGGAGAGGAGUCUGACGAUGCAGACAUCGCCAUCGUAUGCAGGCCACGCCCUCGCAGGAAAACCAGCCAAUGAAAACGCUCGCAGCAGCAUCAGCAGAACACACCGGCACGACUGACAGGGCUUCUGAAGCAUGCAGUGGAAGAGCUGUCAGUCAAGCUAAAGGUCCCGCCCUCCAACCUGCUGCUGCUGCACGGACAGGCGGAACUUAACACCUCACACACUAUUGGCCAGCUAGGACUCUGCAUCGCUGACAUCAUUGUCUGGAACCAACUUCACAUCCCUCUUCACUGCACUACUGACACUGAGAUGGAAUCCACAACCCAACCACUAGUGGUCUGCAUUGGGAAUCUGAAGAGUCUGUCAUCACCGCCAGGAAUGACCGCGUGACCAUUCCCGUUGCAGACGGCCUGACUUGCACAAUUGACAAGCUGUUCAACUGGGUCUGCAACUUG